rnacentral:rRNA from 1 species
CCUACGGGAGGCAGCAGUGGGGAAUAUUGCACAAUGGGGGGAACCCUGAUGCAGCGACGCCGCGUGGGUGAAGGAGUAUUUCGGUAUGUAAAGCCCUAUCAGCAGGGAAGAACAAUGACGGUACCUGACUAAGAAGCACCGGCUAAAUACGUUCCAGCGGCCGCGGUAAUACGUGUGGUGCAAGCGUUAUCCGGAUUUACUGGGUGUAAAGGGGGCGCAGGCGGCGCGUUAAGCCUGGUGUGAACGCCCGGGGCCCAACCGCGGGACUGCAUUGGGAACUGGCGCGCUGGAGUGCCGGAGGGGUAGGCGGAAUUCCGAGUGUAGCGGUGAAAUGCGUAGAUAUUAGGAGGAACACCAGUGGCGAAGGCGGCCUACUGGACGGUGACUGACGCUGAGGCUCGAAAGCGUGGGGAGCAAACAGGAUUAGAUACCCGUGUAGUC